AGCAGCCGCGGUAAUUCCAGCUCCAAUAGCGUAUAUUAAAGUUGUUGCAGUUAAAAAGCUCGUAGUUGAAUUUCGGGGUCAGUAAGUUGGUCGUGCCACUGGUAUGUACUGGCUUUACUGAUUCCUCCUUCUUGUAGAACCGUAAUGCCAUUAAGUUGGUGUUGCGGGAAAACAGGACUGUUACUUUGAAAAAAUUAGAGUGUUUAAAGCAAGCUAACGCUUGAAUACAUUAGCAUGGAAUAAUGAAAUAGGACGAACGAUCCUAUUUUGUUGGUUUCUAGGAUUGACGUAAUGAUUAAUAGGGAUAGUUGGGGGCAUUAGUAUUCAAUUGUCAGAGGUGAAAUUCUUGGAUUUAUUGAAGACUAACUACUGCGAAAGCAUUUGCCAAGGAUGUUUUCAUUAAUCAAGAACGAAAGUUAGGGGAUCGAAGACGAUCAGAUACCGUCGUAGUCUUAACCAUAAACUAUGCCGACUAGGGAUCGGAUGAUGUUAAUUUUUUAAUGACUCAUUCGGCGCCUUA
rnacentral:rRNA from 1 species